rnacentral:tRNA from 1 species
GCGAGAGUGGCGGAAUUGGUAUACGCGCUAGACUUAGGAUCUAGUGGGCUAAUACCUGUAGGGGUUCAAGUCCCCUCUCUCGCA